UACGUAGGGUGCAAGCGUUGUCCGGAAUUAUUGGGCGUAAAGAGCUCGUAGGCGGUUCGUCGCGUCGGCUGUGAAAUCCCGAGGCUCAACCUCGGGUCUGCAGUCGAUACUGGCGGACUGGAGUUCGGCAGGGGAGACUGGAAUUCCUGGUGUAGCGGUGAAAUGCGCAGAUAUCGGGAGGAACACCGGUGGCGAAGGCGGGUCUCUGGGCCGAUACUGACGCUGAGGAGCGAAAGCGUGGGGAGCGAACAGG
rnacentral:rRNA from 1 species